UACGAAGGGGGCGAGCGUUGUUCGGAUUUACUGGGCGUAAAGGGCGCGUAGGCGCUUGUCAGUCAGGCGUGAAAGCCCCGGGCUCAACCUGGGAACGGCGCUUGGGACGGCGAGGCUGGAGUUCGGGAGAGGAGAGUGGAAUUCCCAGUGUAGAGGUGAAAUUCGUAGAUAUUGGGAAGAACACCGGUGGCGAAGGCGGCUCUCUGGACCGACACUGACGCUGAGACGCGAAAGCGUGGGGAGCAAACAGG
rnacentral:rRNA from 1 species